rnacentral:rRNA from 1 species
AUUGAACGCUGGCGGCAUGCUUUACACAUGCAAGUCGAACGGGGGUGAGGGGGCAACCUCUCAUCUAGUGGCGAACGGGUGAGUAAUGCAUCGGAACGUGUCCCGUAGUGGGGGAUAACCCGGCGAAAGCCGGACUAAUACCGCAUAUGCUCUACGGAGGAAAGUGGGGGACCUGUAAGGGCCUCACGCUAUGGGAGCGGCCGAUGUCCGAUUAGCUUGUUGGUGAGGUAAUGGCUCACCAAGGCGACGAUCGGUAGCUGGUCUGAGAGGAUGAUCAGCCACACUGGGACUGAGACACGGCCCAGA